UACGUAGGUGGCGAGCGUUACCCGGAUUGAUUGGGCGUAAAGGGUCUGUAGGCGGUUUGAAUAGUCGUUGGUCAAAUCUUGAGGCUUAACUUCAAGACUGCCAAUGAUACUCUCAAACUAGAGACUGGGAGAGGCAAACGGAAGUGCCGGUGUAGUAGUAAAAUGCGUUGAUAUCGGCAGGAACACCAAAAGCGAAGGCAGUUUGCUAGAACAGUUCUGACGCUCAGGGACGAAAGCAUGGGUAGCGAAU
rnacentral:rRNA from 1 species